rnacentral:rRNA from 1 species
GUCCACGCCGUAAACGAUGGGUACUAGGUGUUGGGUAUUGACCCCUCCAGUGCCGCAGUUAACGCACUAAGUACCCGCCUGGGAAGUACGGCCGCAAGGCUAAACUCAAAGGAAUUGACGGGGCCCGCACAAGCGGUGGAGCAUGUGGUUUAAUUCGACGCAACGCGAAGAACCUUACCUGGGCUUGACAUCCCGGGAAUCCCCUGGAAACAGGGGGUGCCCGCAAGGGACCCGGAGACAGGUGCUGCAUGGCUGUCGU